rnacentral:rRNA from 1 species
CCCCUACGGGAGGCAGCAGUGAGGAAUAUUGGUCAAUGGCCGCAGGGCUGAACCAGCCAAGUCGCGUGAGGGAUGACGGUCCUAUGGAUUGUAAACCUCUUUUGUCAGGGAGCAAUUGGGUCCAUGCGUGGGCUUAGCGAGAGUACCUGAAGAAAAAGCAUCGGCUAACUCCGUGCCAGCAGCCGCGGUAAUACGGAGGAUGCGAGCGUUAUGGAUUUAUUGGGUUUAAAGGGUGCGUAGGCGGAAUAUCAAGUCAGCGGUAAAAAUUCGGGGCUCAACCCCGUCGUGCCGUUGAAACUGAUGUU